AGGGUUUGAUUAUGGCUCAGAACGUACGCUGGCGGCACGCCUAACACAUGCAAGUCGAACGAAGUAGCAAUACUUAGUGGCAGACGGGUGAGUAACAUGUAGGUAUCUACCCUUUGGCCUGGAAUAACACGAGGAAACUUGUGCUAAUACCGGAUAAGUCUUUACGGAGAAAGCUUUAUGCACCAUUGGAUGAGCCUGCACUUGAUUAGUUUGUUGGUGGGGUAAUGGCCUACCAAGACUGUGAUCAAUAGCUGAUUUGAGAGGAUGAUCAGCCACAUUGGGACUGAGACACGGCCCAAACUCCUACGGGAGGCAGCAGUGGGGAAUCUUGCACAAUGGAGGAAACUCUGAUGCAGCGAUGCCGCGUGAGUGAAGAAGGCCCUUGGGUUGUAAAGCUCUUUCGUCGGGGAAGAAAAUGACUGUACCCGAAUAAGAAGGUCCGGCUAACUUCGUGCCAGCCGCCGCGGUAAAUC
rnacentral:rRNA from 1 species